rnacentral:rRNA from 1 species
UAAGCGACUAAGCGUACACGGUGGAUGCCCUGGCAGUCAGAGGCGAUGAAGGACGUGCUAAUCUGCGAUAAGCGUCGGUAAGGUGAUAUGAACCGUUAUAACCGGCGAUUUCCGAAUGGGGAAACCCAGUGUGAUUCGUCACACUAUCAUUAACUGAAUCCAUAGGUUAAUGAGGCGAACCGGGGGAACUGAAACAUCUAAGUACCCCGAGGAAAAGAAAUCAACCGAGAUUCCCCCAGUAGCGGCGAGCGAACGGGGAGCAGCCCAGAGCCUGAAUCAGUGUGUGUGUUAGUGGAAGCGUCUGGAAAGGCGCGCGAUACAGGGUGACAGCCCCGUACACAAAAAUGCACAUAUUGUGAGCUCGAUGAGUAGGGCGGGACACGUGGUAUCCUGUCUGAAUAUGGGGGGACCAUCCUCCAAGGCUAAAUACUCCUGACUGACCGAUAGUGAACCAGUACCGUGAGGGAAAGGCGAAAAGAACCCCGGCGAGGGGAGUGAAAAAGAACCUGAAACCGUGUACGUACAAGCAGUGGGAGCCUCUUUUAUGGGGUGACUGCGUACCUUUUGUAUAAUGGGUCAGCGACUUAUAUUCUGUAGCAAGGUUAACCGAAUAGGGGAGCCGAAGGGAAACCGAGUCUUAACUGGGCGUUAAGUUGCAGGGUAUAGACCCGAAACCCGGUGAUCUAGCCAUGGGCAGGUUGAAGGUUGGGUAACACUAACUGGAGGACCGAACCGACUAAUGUUGAAAAAUUAGCGGAUGACUUGUGGCUGGGGGUGAAAGGCCAAUCAAACCGGGAGAUAGCUGGUUCUCCCCGAAAGCUAUUUAGGUAGCGCCUCGUGAAUUCAUCUCCGGGGGUAGAGCACUGUUUCGGCAAGGGGGUCAUCCCGACUUACCAACCCGAUGCAAACUGCGAAUACCGGAGAAUGUUAUCACGGGAGACACACGGCGGGUGCUAACGUCCGUCGUGAAGAGGGAAACAACCCAGACCGCCAGCUAAGGUCCCAAAGUCAUGGUUAAGUGGGAAACGAUGUGGGAAGGCCCAGACAGCCAGGAUGUUGGCUUAGAAGCAGCCAUCAUUUAAAGAAAGCGUAAUAGCUCACUGGUCGAGUCGGCCUGCGCGGAAGAUGUAACGGGGCUAAACCAUGCACCGAAGCUGCGGCAGCGACGCUUAUGCGUUGUUGGGUAGGGGAGCGUUCUGUAAGCCUGUGAAGGUGUGCUGUGAGGCAUGCUGGAGGUAUCAGAAGUGCGAAUGCUGACAUAAGUAACGAUAAAGCGGGUGAAAAGCCCGCUCGCCGGAAGACCAAGGGUUCCUGUCCAACGUUAAUCGGGGCAGGGUGAGUCGACCCCUAAGGCGAGGCCGAAAGGCGUAGUCGAUGGGAAACAGGUUAAUAUUCCUGUACUUGGUGUUACUGCGAAGGGGGGACGGAGAAGGCUAUGUUGGUCGGGCGACGGUUGUCCCGGUUUAAGCGUGUAGGCUGGUUUUCCAGGCAAAUCCGGAAAAUCAAGGCUGAGGCGUGAUGACGAGGCACUACGGUGCUGAAGCAACAAAUGCCCUGCUUCCAGGAAAAGCCUCUAAGCAUCAGGUAACAUCAAAUCGUACCCCAAACCGACACAGGUGGUCAGGUAGAGAAUACCAAGGCGCUUGAGAGAACUCGGGUGAAGGAACUAGGCAAAAUGGUGCCGUAACUUCGGGAGAAGGCACGCUGAUAUGUAGGUGAAGUCCCUCGCGGAUGGAGCUGAAAUCAGUCGAAGAUACCAGCUGGCUGCAACUGUUUAUUAAAAACACAGCACUGUGCAAACACGAAAGUGGACGUAUACGGUGUGACGCCUGCCCGGUGCCGGAAGGUUAAUUGAUGGGGUCAGCGCAAGCGAAGCUCUUGAUCGAAGCCCCGGUAAACGGCGGCCGUAACUAUAACGGUCCUAAGGUAGCGAAAUUCCUUGUCGGGUAAGUUCCGACCUGCACGAAUGGCGUAAUGAUGGCCAGGCUGUCUCCACCCGAGACUCAGUGAAAUUGAACUCGCUGUGAAGAUGCAGUGUACCCGCGGCAAGACGGAAAGACCCCGUGAACCUUUACUAUAGCUUGACACUGAACAUUGAGCCUUGAUGUGUAGGAUAGGUGGGAGGCUUUGAAGUGUGGACGCCAGUCUGCAUGGAGCCGACCUUGAAAUACCACCCUUUAAUGUUUGAUGUUCUAACGUUGACCCGUAAUCCGGGUUGCGGACAGUGUCUGGUGGGUAGUUUGACUGGGGCGGUCUCCUCCUAAAGAGUAACGGAGGAGCACGAAGGUUGGCUAAUCCUGGUCGGACAUCAGGAGGUUAGUGCAAUGGCAUAAGCCAGCUUGACUGCGAGCGUGACGGCGCGAGCAGGUGCGAAAGCAGGUCAUAGUGAUCCGGUGGUUCUGAAUGGAAGGGCCAUCGCUCAACGGAUAAAAGGUACUCCGGGGAUAACAGGCUGAUACCGCCCAAGAGUUCAUAUCGACGGCGGUGUUUGGCACCUCGAUGUCGGCUCAUCACAUCCUGGGGCUGAAGUAGGUCCCAAGGGUAUGGCUGUUCGCCAUUUAAAGUGGUACGCGAGCUGGGUUUAGAACGUCGUGAGACAGUUCGGUCCCUAUCUGCCGUGGGCGCUGGAGAACUGAGGGGGGCUGCUCCUAGUACGAGAGGACCGGAGUGGACGCAUCACUGGUGUUCGGGUUGUCAUGCCAAUGGCACUGCCCGGUAGCUAAAUGCGGAAGAGAUAAGUGCUGAAAGCAUCUAAGCACGAAACUUGCCCCGAGAUGAGUUCUCCCUGACCCUUUAAGGGUCCUGAAGGAACGUUGAAGACGACGACGUUGAUAGGCCGGGUGUGUAAGCGCAGCGAUGCGUUGAGCUAACCGGUACUAAUGAACCGUGAGGCUUAACCU